UAUAUAACAAAAAUCUUAUUUACCAAUAUUAUUAACUCUUCUUAUAUUACAACAAAAAAAUUCACAUAAAACAGCAAAUAAAAAAAAGUAAGAAACAAAAAUAUUUACCACAUUUACUUUUUCACCAUUUUAUCUUUUACUUAGUCUAUGGUUAUGAAAAAACUCACAGGUGAUCUGGAUAUAAAGUUGAAAUCGAGAUUCGAUAUUACUGUGAAUGUUGCGAUCCAUCGCAACUCGAAAAAAGUGUUACCAGGUCCAAUGGUCCAAUAGCUGAUAUGAUGAUGUAGAGAGUAGGCCUUCUUGAGAGAAACUUCAGUAUUCGGCCACAAGUGGCGCGGCAACACGUUCUUUCGACGACGUUCUCGAUAACUUUGUAAAUUAUGCAUGACACGGUUUGGCGUGAACCUCUCGAUACAUCCGCUCCACGAGGAAAAAAGUUGAAGAUAAAAAAGAGUCAAAGAACAAGUAAAUGGCGUGGAGGAAAAGAAGCUUAACGGUGCACGAUCUUGUCGAAGUAAGAUCUUCGAGAGCGUCGAAAAGAGAGAUCCUUUUUAAAAUUCAAGAGAACAUCGUUCGAUGCGAAUUUCGACUACACGAUUCGAUUCACGAAAUAUCGAUUCUCCACUCUGAACGUAAUCCUUCCUUGAAUGAGGACAUGUUAAUUUUAAAUGAACGAAAUUUGAAUGGGAUUUUAUAUAAGCUAGACGAAUAUGAAAAAUGUAAAAUAAGCAAUGAACCUAACCUAAUUUAACAGUUUCGAUUUUGUUAAUGGAUAACGAUUGCCGCAAGUAAAAUUUUCACAAUGUUAAACAAAUAUUAGAACGAUUUGAUAAUACAUUAAAAAAAUUCUCAAGAUCAGUGGUGGUUUUUUUAAAUAAUUAUCAAUAUCGAAAAGUUUUGUAGCUAAAUUCUCGAUGUAUCGAUAUACGGAACGAAGUGGUUUCAAAUAUGGACCAUUUGUCAAGACGUGUGUUUGUUUGCACGCGAACAAUGUGUUUCGUAGAAUUGGAAUAAACGAAAUUUACCUGUGAGGCUUCUUCGAGUUGUGGAUGGCACGUACUACUAAGGUAAAAUCUGGUUGGCGAUCCGUCUAAAACGACAAACACGGCAACCCCUAAUCAAGCUCAUUGCAGCAAAGCUUGCACGUAAUUAAACAUACGCGCCGCGGUGAAUACAAACGAUGCCUUUAUCUCGAAACUCGAUGAAACUUCCUUUGAAGUCGUUUCAAAUUUUGUGAUCAGAGGAUUGCCAUCUCUCUCUAGUUUUUUAUUUGGACUUAUAUAUGGAUUUUGUUAUAAAUGUACAGUGUUCUUAUAUGUACAAUAUCUAUCUCUCAGUCUAUGAUACAAUUUUUAAUAUUUUGAUUGAUAGAAAAAAAUAUUAAUUUCUUAUUUAUUAAUUAUGAAUAGAGUAUAGAUGUUUGUGUAAAUUGAAAUUUUAAUAAAUAUGAUCAUAGAAAUAAA